rnacentral:rRNA from 1 species
CCUACGGGUGGCAGCAGUCGAGAAUCAUUCACAAUGGGGGAAACCCUGAUGGUGCGACGCCGCGUGGGGGAAUGAAGGUCUUCGGAUUGUAAACCCCUGUCAUGUGGGAGCAAAUUAAAAAGAUAGUACCACAAGAGGAAGAGACGGCUAACUCUGUGCCAGCAGCCGCGGUAAUACAGAGGUCUCAAGCGUUGUUCGGAAUCACUGGGCGUAAAGCGUGCGUAGGCUGUUUCGUAAGUCGUGUGUGAAAGGCGCGGGCUCAACCCGCGGACGGCACAUGAUACUGCGAGACUAGAGUAAGGGAGGGGGAACCGGAAGUCUCGGUGUAGCAGUGAAAUGCGUAGAUAUCGAGAGGAACACUCGUGGCGAAGGCGGGUUCCUGGACAUUAACGGACGCUGAGGCACGAAGGCCAGGGGAGCGAAAGGGAUUAGAUACCCGAGUAGUC